AGAGUUUGAUCCUGGCUCAGAACGAACGCUGGCGGCGUGCCUAACACAUGCAAGUCGAACGAGAAGUACGUAGCAAUACGUAUUGUAAAGUGGCGCACGGGUGAGUAACACGUGGGUAAUCUGCCCUUGAGUUUGGGAUAACCCCGCGAAAGCGGGGCUAAUACCGAAUAAGACCACGGGGACCAAAGUCCCUGAGGUAAAAGACGGCCUCUAUUUAUAAGCUGUCACUUGAGGAUGAGCCCGCGGCCCAUUGGCUAGUUGGUAGGGUAACGGCCUACCAAGGCGAUGAUGGGUAGCUGGUCUGAGAGGACGAUCAGCCACACUGGAACUGAGACACGGUCCAGACUCCUACGGGAGGCAGCAGUGGGGAAUAUUGCGCAAUGGGCGAAAGCCUGACGCAGCAACGCCGCGUGGGGGAUGAAGGUUCUCGGAUUGUAAACCCCUUUCGAUCGGAACGAAUCCCCUCCUGGUAAAUAAUCAGGAGGAUCGACGGUACCGGGAGAAGAAGCCACGGCUAACUCUGUGCCAGCAGCCGCGGUAAGACAGAGGUGGCGAGCGUUGUUCGGAUUUAUUGGGCGUAAAGCGAACGCAGGUGGUUUGGUAAGUCAGGGGUGAAAGACCACAGCUUAACUGUGGCACUGCCUUUGAUACUGCCUUUCUAGAGUGCAUGAGGGGGAAGCGGAAUUCCGAGUGUAGAGGUGAAAUUCGUAGAUAUUCGGAGGAACACCGGUGGCGAAGGCGGCUUCCUGGCAUGUAACUGACACUCAUGUUCGAAAGCGUGGGUAGCAAACAGGAUUAGAUACCCUGGUAGUCCACGCCCUAAACGAUGGGCACUAGGUGUGGGAGGUAUCGACCCCUUCCGUGCCGCAGCUAACGCAUUAAGUGCCCCGCCUGGGGAGUACGGCCGCAAGGUUGAAACUCAAAGGAAUUGACGG
rnacentral:rRNA from 1 species